rnacentral:lncRNA from 1 species
GUAUCUUUAAGCAUGGUCCCAUCACCAACCGGUUUGGAUGAAGUAGCCUCAGCAGAGGAUGAUGGAGCAGGAGUUGUCGAUGCCAAAGCCUUUGAAGGGGAGACUGAACUUUUCUGAAAAGUCCAAAAGAUCAUCAGUACACAGAACAGUAUCAAAUGUGGAAAAGCAUACUUGUAAAUAGACCGAUUUAAUUACCUUCCUCCUGACGAUAAGAGGGGCAUCAUCAUCAUCAUCAUCAUCAACAUCAUCCUCCAGAAUGGGAGAUGCUGAGGCUGACCGUUUGCGGCUUGAAGCACUCUUGGCCGUAGUAGACCUGGAGGGGAAAGAAGAAGAUGGACGAGCAGGUUGUUUGGUACGACGAGAAGGAGAGGGGCUUCGAAUAGACAAAGGAGUAACCAAAACAGGAGGAGGAGAAGAAAUAUUCGGUUGGUCUAAUGAAUGAAAGGCACGAUUGGCCUCAGUCGCAAAUAAUCUGCGCUUCACUGAUGGCCAAAGUUGUUCAAAAAGAGGGUGAGUAGCAUGACAAGAAUUAAAAGGGGCUAAUGAAAAAUGGCUUGAUAAAUGGAGGUUGCGAACGUUUAUAGCCUCUGCUU